CUUUUAUUCCAACAAACAAUAUAUUUCCGUUUUUCUCUAUCCCUUUCAACUAAAUAAUUUUUAGCAUAAUUAAAAGAUUUUGUGAUCUGGAACAAGAGGUCAUCGCAAAUUGGGGAUUUCAAGUUACGUUGUACGAAGUGAUUACGAAGGCGAUUUGUCUUAGGGUUCGGAGAAGUGGACGAAGGUUUUGCGACUUGAUUUUCAUCUUGCUAGGAAACCCUUUAGUGGCUUCUCUAAUGGUGGUUCUGAAUUCAAGAUGGAGACGUUGAUCCCUGCUGUACUAACAAGUUCCAAGUUCGCAAGAAAAAAAAUCAAAAGAGAGGGAAGAUUGAGCACUCACUGAUUAACAUAAAUAUAUCUGUCUUUUUAGUUAUCCGAGAACUCCUUUGUGGUUUUGUUGACAUUUGGUCGGUGUCGGUGAUUUGUAGGGUCUGGGUUUGAAGAAUCUUGGGAAUACAUAUUUUUUGAAUUCUGUAUUGCAAUUUUUGACAUACACUGAGUUCUUAGAUGCUUACUUUCUAGAUGUUAGCAAUGUGAAACGAUGUAUGCAUUUAGAAGCUGGUUUGAUUAAUUGCUUGGCUUGGUGGAUCUUUUAUUCAGUGUCUAAUUGGAUGCUCUCAUGAAAACGUUUGUGUAGUCCAUGUGACUGGGUUUUGUGCUUUAUGUGCAAUGCAGAGGCAUGUUAGGACAACCCUUCAAGCUUCUGGCGGAAUAGCAGCACCAAGUCUCAAACUUAGGAGGUACGCUUUUGUAAAAUAAAUACGUAAGAAUCUAAUCAUAUCUUUCGGGAAAGAGAUGCUCUUCACCACGAUACUAUCAAUUGUACAUCUAUGUGUCAUGUACGUCAGUACGGUUCUCAUCCAGAGCUCAUAGAUUUCACCUUCUGCAAGAGAUCUCUGCCAUUGGAGGAUCUUCUUUGAGGAAUGAGAGGAGCCACAUCUCAUGUCAUUGCCAAAAAAAGCCAAAAUGAUGAAAGCGAUUGAAUCCUACUCUGAUAGAUAACAGAGCUACAGAUGUUACAAGUAUUUCCAACGAAUCUUUGCUUGAGACUUAAAGUUUUUGAAUUCCGAGAUGCGCUUAUAAGUUUAGGUGGAGAAGUAGUGGCUUUUGACCUUGUGCACAAAAAAAUAGCAGUGGCUUUUGACCAAAAUCCUUGGUCUAAUGGUUGCAGGAUUUUCACAAAAGUUCCAGUGGAUGUCGAUCCUAUGCUUUAAUUGGAGGAUAACAAUCAAUAAACACCUCAGCUUUUGUCUAACAUUUUCAUAAGAAUUUUUUUUUUUCACUCAUAUAUUUGUGUACCUCUCAGCUUUCCUCUGAUGUUAAAGAGCAGGAAACUUCAGCAGUUGAUUACACAACA